rnacentral:rRNA from 1 species
GACGGAGGGUGCAAGCGUUGUUCGGAUUGACUGGGCGUAAAGGGCGUGUAGGCGGUUGGUCAAGUCCGAUGUGAAAGCCCGGGGCUCAGCUUCGGAAGUGCAUCGGAAACUAGCCAGCUGGAGCGCGAUAGAGGAGGGCGGAAUUCCUGGUGUAGCGGUGGAAUGCGUAGAUAUCAGGAGGAACACCGGCGGCGAAGGCGGCCCUCUGGAUCGUUGCUGACGCUGAGACGCGAAAGCGUGGGGAGCAAACAGG